AUUUAGUUAAGAUACAAGGAAAUAAUUGCUGUUUAAAUUUAUAAUUUACUAUAAAUUAAGAAGAAAAGUGAAUAUGCCAACAUGUCCAGAAAAGAUGGAAACAACAGAAGAUAGUGAUGUAACAAAGACAAGAGGAUUGAAUUUGAGUGAAUGCAGUAGCAUGAUUUCUGAAAGUAGCAUGGAAUUUUUAUCACAGGUGAUAGCACCAUGUAUAGAAUAUUGGGGCAAUGUGGAGCACAAGUGAAAACAAGUCUUGAAGGCAUAGAUUACUCUGUUGCUGAAGGAGGACGUUCAUUUUGUACCAUCAUAGAUAUCCUAUAAGAACUAGCUAAGAUUGACAUAAUUGAUCGAGAAAAACACAAAGAAUUUUCUUCAUUGCUUCUGCAGUGAAAACAGUAUCUACGAACAGAUUUCAAGUUUUGAGUGAAGAUGACAAAUACCAAUCUUCAGAAGAAUCUGAUCAAGAAGUGCAGAAUAACACGCUUACAAAUCUGACGAAUGUGAUGAAAAAUCGAAAGCCAGGAAGAGCAGGAAAUCGUAUGCAGUUGAAGACAUCAGUCCAACUUUUGUAGUUGAUCAGAAGCGUGUUUGCCAUGAUGCUUGGAA